rnacentral:lncRNA from 1 species
GGUCAGUCAAGAACAAAGAUGUGGAAGAUGAAUACAAGUACAGAAGGAAUGGGGAGAGAGAAAGAGAAGAUCAGAGGUUUAUUUCUUUUGGAUUCUGUAGAGGGAGCUUGCCAAGGAACUAAGCACAGAUCUACCCUGGAUUCUGCCAGCACAGCUAUUUCAGUCAGGAGUGUGAAGGCAAAGCUGUGGUGACAGAAGAGCAAGCAAGACACUUGUUCUGGCACUGAGGCCCCUGGCAUCUUGUGUGAGCACACAUGGAGGAUAACAAAUGCUCAGGAAGCACCAAGCUCACACAGAGCUCAGUCAGAGUGAGAAAAGCCCUUUUUGCAGAGGGAGGUGGGUGCUGGUGAAUUAGCAGGACCCUGUGGUGCAUCCCCACGAGUCUGUGGGGUAAAAUCACAGAGCUCACAGAGCUCACAGAG